UGCAAGUCGAACGUUAACGCACCUUCGGGUGUUAUUAAAGUGGCAAACGGGUGAGUAACACGUGGGAACGUACCUUUCAGUCUAGGAUAGCCCCGGGAAACUGGGAUUAAUACUGGAUAUUCUCUACGGAGGAAAGAUUUAUCGCUGAAAGAUCGGCCCGCGUUAGAUUAGUUUGUUGGUGAGGUAAUGGCUCACCAAGACUACGAUCUAUAGCUGGUCUGAGAGGAUGAUCAGCCACACUGGGACUGAGAUACGGCCCAGACUCCUACGGGAGGCAGCAGUGAGGAAUAUUGGACAAUGGAGGAAACUCUGAUCCAGCCAUGCCGCGUGAGUGAUGAAGGCCUUAGGGUUGUAAAACUCUUUUAGUGGGGAAGAUAAUGACGGUACCCACAGAAAAAGCUCCGGCUAACUUCGUGCCAGCAGCCGCGGUAAUACGAAGGGAGCUAGCGUUAUUCGGAAUUACUGGGCGUAAAGCGAGUGUAGGCGGAAAAGUAAGUCAGAUGUGAAAUCCCAGGGCUCAACCCUGGAACUGCAUUUGAAACUGCUUUUCUUGAGAUCGGUAGAGGGUAGUAGAAUUCCUAGUGUAGAGGUGAAAUUCGUAGAUAUUAGGAGGAAUACCAGAGGCGAAGGCGACUCUCUGGGCCAUUACUGACGCUGAGACUCGAAAGCGUGGGGAGCGAACGGGAUUAGAUACCCCGGUAGUCCACGCCGUAAACGUUGUAUGCUAGUUGUUGGCCUUUCAGGUUUCAGUAACUAGAAACUAGUGCUUCAGAAAUUAGUUUUUCAGAUUUAUUUAUACUGAUUACUAUUUCUGAUUUCUGGCUUCUGAUAUACUGACACCCGAUAGGUCAGUGACGUAGCUAACGCGUUAAGCACACCGCCUGGGGAGUACGGUCGCAAGAUUAAAACUCAAAGGAAUUGACGGGGACCCGCACAAGCGGUGGAGCAUGUGGUUUAAUUCGAUGCAACGCGAAGAACCUUACCACCAUUUGACAUCCCGAUCGCCGGCAACGUAAUGGAGAUCUUUCAGCUCGGCUGGACCAAUGACAGGUGUUGCAUGGCUGUCGUCAGCUCGUGUCGUGAGAUGUUGGGUUAAGUCCCGCAACGAGCGCAACCCUCAUCCUUAGUUGCCAUCGGGUUAUGCCGGGAACUCUAAGGAAACUGCUCGUGAUAAGCGAGAGGAAGGUGGGGACGACGUCAAGUCAUCAUGGCCCUUAUAUGGUGGGCUACACACGUGCUACAAUGGCGGUGACAAUGGGUUGCAACCUCGCGAGGGGGAGCUAAUCUCAAAAAGCCGCCUCAGUUCGGAUUGUACUCUGCAACUCGAGUGCAUGAAGGUGGAAUCGCUAGUAAUCGCAGAUCAGUAUGCUGCGGUGAAUACGUUCCCGGGCCUUGUACACACUGCCCGUCACGCCAUGGGAGUUGGUUUUACCUGAAACCGGUGAGUGAACCUUCGGGACACGGCCGU
rnacentral:rRNA from 1 species